UGCAGGAGAGUGGAACGGAAUGACCAUACCAGGUUCAUACCCUGUCUGUGAUAGCGGGUUCGACUCCCGCUCCUGCAA
rnacentral:tRNA from 3 species